rnacentral:tRNA from 1 species
UCCAGGGUAGCCUAGUGGACAUGGCAUCUGCUCGGUAAGCGGAACACUGUUGGGUUCGAUUCUCAUCCCUGGAC